AACCGUUAUAACCGGCGAUACCCGAAUGGGGAAACCCAGUGUGAUUCGUCACACUAUCAUUAACUGAAUCCAUAGGUUAAUGAGGCGAACCGGGGGAACUGAAACAUCUAAGUACCCCGAGGAAAAGAAAUCAACCGAGAUUCCCCCAGUAGCGGCGAGCGAACGGGGAGGAGCCCAGAGCCUGAAUCAGCAUGUGUGUUAGUGGAAGCGUCUGGAAAGGCGCGCGAUACAGGGUGACAGCCCCGUACACAAAAGCGCAUGUGCUGUGAGCUCGAUGAGUAGGGCGGGACACGUGGUAUCCUGUCUGAAUAUGGGGGGACCAUCCUCCAAGGCUAAAUACUCCUGACUGACCGAUAGUGAACCAGUACCGUGAGGGAAAGGCGAAAAGAACCCCGGCGAGGGGAGUGAAAAAGAACCUGAAACCGUGUACGUACAAGCAGUGGGAGCACAGGUUUACCUGUGUGACUGCGUACCUUUUGUAUAAUGGGUCAGCGACUUAUAUUCUGUAGCAAGGUUAACCGAAUAGGGGAGCCGGAGGGAAACCGAGUCUUAAUUGGGCGUUAAGUUGCAGGGUAUAGACCCGAAACCCGGUGAUCUAGCCAUGGGCAGGUUGAAGGUUGGGUAACACUAACUGGAGGACCGAACCGACUAAUGUUGAAAAAUUAGCGGAUGACCUGUGGCUGGGGGUGAAAGGCCAAUCAAACCGGGAGAUAGCUGGUUCUCCCCGAAAGCUAUUUAGGUAGCGCCUCGUGAAUUCAUCUCCGGGGGUAGAGCACUGUUUCGGCUAGGGGGCCAUCCCGGCUUACCAACCCGAUGCAAACUGCGAAUACCGGAGAAUGUUAUCACGGGAGACACACGGCGGGUGCUAACGUCCGUCGUGAAGAGGGAAACAACCCAGACCGCCAGCUAAGGUCCCAAAGUCAUGGUUAAGUGGGAAACGAUGUGGGAAGGCCCAGACAGCCAGGAUGUUGGCUUAGAAGCAGCCAUCAUUUAAAGAAAGCGUAAUAGCUCACUGGUCGAGUCGGCCUGCGCGGAAGAUGUAACGGGGCUAAACCAUGCACCGAAGCUGCGGCAGCGACGCUUAUGCGUUGUUGGGUAGGGGAGCGUUCUGUAAGCCUGUGAAGGUGGCCUGUGAGGGUUGCUGGAGGUAUCAGAAGUGCGAAUGCUGACAUAAGUAACGAUAAAGCGGGUGAAAAGCCCGCUCGCCGGAAGACCAAGGGUUCCUGUCCAACGUUAAUCGGGGCAGGGUGAGUCGACCCCUAAGGCGAGGCCGAAAGGCGUAGUCGAUGGGAAACGGGUUAAUAUUCCCGUACUUGGUGUUACUGCGAAGGGGGGACGGAGAAGGCUAUGUUGGCCGGGCGACGGUUGUCCCGGUUUAAGCGUGUAGGUGUGUGUUCCAGGUAAAUCCGGUUCACUUUAACACUGAGGCGUGAUGACGAGGCACUACGGUGCUGAAGUAACAAAUGCCCUGCUUCCAGGAAAAGCCUCUAAGCAUCAGGUAACAUCAAAUCGUACCCCAAACCGACACAGGUGGUC
rnacentral:rRNA from 1 species